CACGUAGGGGGCAAGCGUUGUCCGGAUUCAUUGGGCGUAAAGAGCUCGUAGGCGGUUCGAUAAGUCGGGUGUGAAACCUCCAGGCUCAACCUGGAGACGCCACCCGAUACUGUCGUGACUAGAGUCCAGUAGGGGAGCGUGGAAUUCCUGGUGUAGCGGUGAAAUGCGCAGAUAUCAGGAGGAACACCAGCGGCGAAGGCGGCGCUCUGGGCUGGAACUGACGCUGAGGAGCGAAAAGCGUGGGGAGCGAACAGG
rnacentral:rRNA from 1 species